GACGAACGCUGGCGGCGUGCUUAACACAUGCAAGUCGAACGGAAAGGCCCUGCUUUUGUGGGGUUCUCGAGUGGCGAGCGGGAGAGUAACACGUGAGCAACCUGCCCUUGACUUUGGGAUAACUUCAGGAAACUGGGGCUACUACCUGAUAGGAGCUCCUGCUGCAUGGUGGUGGUUGGAAAGUUUCGGCUGUUGGGGAUGGACUCGGGGUUUAUCAGCUUGUUGGUGGGGUAGUGGCUUACCAAGGCUUUGACGGGUAGCCGGCCUGAGAGGGUGACCGGCGACAUUGGGACUGAGAUAGGGCCCAGACGCCUAUGGGAGGCAGCAGUGGGGAAUAUGGCACAAUGGGGGGAAGCGUGAUGCAGCAACGCCGGGAGCGGGAUGACGGCUUUCGGGUUGUAAACCGCUUUCGCCUGUGACGAAGCGUGUGUGACGGUAAUGGGUAAAGAAGCACCGGCUAACUACGUG
rnacentral:rRNA from 1 species